rnacentral:rRNA from 1 species
UACGGAGGAUGCAAGCGUUAUCCGGAUUCAUUGGGUUUAAAGGGUGCGCAGGCGGAAUGGUAAGUCAGUGGUGAAAUCCUACAGCUUAACUGUAGAAUUGCCAUUGAUACUGUCGUUCUUGAGUAUAGUUGAAGUGGGCGGAAUGUGUCAUGUAGCGGUGAAAUGCUUAGAUAUGACACAGAACACCGAUCGCGAAGGCAGCUCGCUAAACUAUCACUGACGCUCAUGCACGAAAGCGUGGGGAU